CUUUAAGGUUUUAUUUUCAAUAAAUAAAGAACAGAGACUUAGCCUGGCAAUAAGUGUGCCUGAAAAAUGCUGGUUGGGAUAGGAAGUGUUUAAGUAAUGAAUUAAAUCGUGACUUGCUGUGUCAAGGUCUAUAUUAAAGAGAAACAUAAAGGAACAUGUGCUUUUGAGAGAAACAGGGCCAGCGUGUGAUUUUUCCAAAUGCUUUAAGAGCUGUGGUUUCAUGUAAGUGUUACUCGCAAGCUGCCCACAAAUGCUGCCACCCGGGCUUCCUGUGCCGGGUCUCCCUGGAAAGCCUGAACGAGCUUUGGCACUGAAAAUGAUCUUGUCCAGGGCCAAGAAUUUAACACAAUUAAAUUUCUCCCUCUUGACUGAGAGGCCUGAAACCUAAAGCUGCAGAAAGGCGGGAAGGAAAGAGAAGUAUGAAGGCGAGAGCCCACUACUAGCUCAUGGUAGAGGAGUAAAUUUCGCCUCCACUCCUGCCUUCCAAGAGCCAGCAUCCGGC
rnacentral:lncRNA from 1 species